rnacentral:rRNA from 1 species
ACCCGCUGAACUUAAGCAUAUCAAUAAGCGGAGGAAAAGAAACCAACAGGGAUUGCCCUAGUAACGGCGUGUGAAGCGGCAACAGCUCAAAUUUGAAAUCUGGCCCCGGCCCGAGUUGUAAUUUGCAGAGGAAGCUUCUGGCACGGCACCUUCCGAGUCCCCUGGAAUGGGGCGCCAUAGAGGGUGAGAGCCCCGUAUGGUCGGCUGCCUAGCCUGUGUGAAGCUCCUUCGACGAGUCGAGUAAUUUGGGAAUGCUGCUCAAAAUGGGAGGUAAAUUCCUUCUAAAGCUAAAUAUUGGCCAGAGACCGAUAGCGCACAAGUAGAGUGAUCGAAAGAUGAAAAGCACUUUGAAAAGAGGGUUAAACAGCACGUGAAAUUGUUGAAAGGGAAGCGCUUGUGACCAGACUUGCGCCGGGCUGAUCAUCCGGUGUUCUCACCGGUGCACUCUGCCCGGCUCAGGCCAGCAUCGGUUCUAGCGGGGGGAUAAAGGCCCCGGGAAUGUAGCUCCCUCGGGAGUGUUAUAGCCCGGGGCGUAAUGCCCCCGCCGGGACCGAGGACCGCGCUUCGGCAAGGAUGCUGGCGUAAUGGUCAU